UUUUUUUUUCCUUCUUCUGAUUCAAAUUUAUUUGUUUCUUCUCUCUGAA
rnacentral:sRNA from 1 species